UUAUUUCAUUGUCAGCGCCAACUUGCAAGUGGAAAUGUAAUUCAAAUGAGGGGGCGUUCCUAAGGGUGCCAUGGGUUGAACUAUUCGCUUAUUGGUUGAUCGACAUUCGAUUUCUGAAAUCUACUAGCCAUGCCUGCCACAGAUGACAGAACGUGGGUCUGAAAGUCAGGGAAACAGCCGACCUACCGUGAGAGAAAAUGCAUUAUCCACCGUCGAAUGUCAAAGCAUGGUAUAGAGUCUCUGACUUGAAUAAUUCCACUGACAUCGCAACGUUGGAUGCUGGGUGAUUACAGGGAUCCCAGGAUCUCAUCCAAAUUCUGGGUUCAGAAUGAUGCAAGGACGUCUCAGGUUCCGACGUACAAAGGUUCAGAGACUUCGUGUGCAAGAAUCCAUGCCACGUCUGGAUCCACCGGGAAUUGUCCGCACACUACAACUACAAACUGUUCGCCGUAGAUGAUAUUCUGUGCCAGCCCCCAACAGUCAAAGGCAUAGCUAUGGCAACCAUAAAGUCAAAAAUUAAAGCUCUAUAUUGGGGGACUCGGAAGGAAGUACAAAAAUAAAUUAAGACCAUAUUUUUUUCACCCAUUUUGGAAAGAUAAACCCAUAUACAGUAUAAUAUAGACCAUUUUAAAUUAAGUUGAAAUAUUUCAUGCUUUUAUUAUUUAUUACGCGCUAGGAAUCCAAUUCAUUUAGAUUUGGAGUGCUUUCGCUGCCAGCCUCUCCCAGUCAAAAAUUGAUUGGAUGUCAAGCGCUGUCAAUGGCAGCCAAUGAGUUAAAUGUUGAUGUUUAUGGCUUGCAAAAAUAAGAAACCCUAAAAUUUUAUGUGUCAGAAUCAGUGUUGUUAAUAACGGCGUUACAAUAUAACGGCGUUACUAACGGCGUUAUUUUUUUUCAGUAAUGAGUAAUCUAAUUAAUUACUUUUCUCAUCUUGGCAACGCCGUUACCGUUACUGAGGCGGGAAAGGCGUGCGUUACUAUGCGUUACUAAGUUGGUUGAAUAAAAAAAAGUCUGAGAGAAACGGACUCACGGGGACGAGAGCAGAGCAGGAGUGGGGAAGACGCCGUUGCAACCGCGAUGCUAGAUGGCUCCAAUAAUACCUGACUGCAGCCAUAGCCGACAAACUACGCCCACAUGACACGGUAGAUAUCAUAUUAUAGAUCUGGAUGCAUAUGACAGACACUGCUGCAUUGCCAACAUGUUUUAAGGACUACAUGCGUUUGUAAACAGCCGCCAUCUUAAAGCAGUAGACCUCUCAGGAAGGCCCUGAUGUAGAGAUCCUUCCUAGCGAACCUAAGUAAUUUUUUUUAAUCUAAAAUGCUCCUAAAUCGGCAAAAUCUUAACUUAAAUCUAUCUUUAAAUGAUGAAACAGUUUUAAAACUUACACAUGUUUAAAGUAGACAGAAGGGAACUAAUGCAAUAACGGGAGAAAUUUUAACAACUUUAACGAUUGAUUCACAACUUUAAAUGACUUCCACACAUAGCAAAGGUUACUAGCUAGUUAUCGCAAUACCCUUGUGUCUAGUUAAGUGGAGGGUAAAGAAUUGGGCUUGGGCCAAUUGUCCCCCAAGCCCUUUAAGCUUCACAUUGUGUGACCUGUUUUUUUUUUUUUUUUUUGGGAGAAAAAAAAAAUAUCACUAGUUACUUUGCCAAGUAACUAAUUACUCUUACAUUCAGGUAACUGAGUUACUAAUGCAAUUACUUUUUUGGAGAAGUAAUUUGUAACUAAUUAAUUACUUUUUAAAAGUAAAAUUAACAACACUGCAUGGCACUAAAUGCGUUAGUAGACAGCCGCCAUCUUAAAGCAGUAGACUUUUUAGGACGGCUCUGUUGUAGAGAACCUUCCUAGCGAACCUAAGUAACUUUUUAUCUAAAAUACUUCUAAAUCGGCAAAAUCUUGACUUGAAUCUAUCUUUAAAUGAUGAAACAGUUUUAAAACUUUCAUAUGUCGAAAGUAGAGAGAAGGGAACAAAUGCAAUAAUGGGAGCAAUUUUAACAACUUUUAACAGUUGAUUCAGGGUAAAGGGUAAAUUAGGGUAAAGAAUUGGGCUCGGGCCAAUUGUACCAAAAACCUUCACAAAAAACUUCACAUAGUGUGGCCAAUGUUUUUUUUUGUUGUUUUUUUUUUUUUUGAGGGGAAAAAAAAAAGUAAUUAUCACCAAUUACUUUGCCAAGUAACUAAUUACUCUUACAUUCAGGUAAUUGAGUUACUAACGCAAUUACUUUUUGGGAGAAGUAAUUUGUAACUAUAAUUAAAAAGUGCACAUUUCUAAUCAAAAACAUAACUUUAAAAAAAAAAAACAAUAAAAGCAUGAAAUAUCCCUGACCAAAAAAGUUAAAUAAAAUUAUAUAAAUGCGAACACUUUCACGGUCUAGGGCUAGGCACAUACAGAUGAGGCUAAUCAAUAACUAAAUUUGCCAUAUACGAUGUGUGCAUGUUUAGUUAUAUUUUAGGACUAGUUGGUUCAACUUUAAAUUACAUAUUUGCAGUUUUAUGUGAUGGUCCACAUGGUUAUCAUCCCCAUGUCGAUGUCAGUCCCAGAAGUGCAGCUGCGACAGGCCUUGACUCCUGAAGAAAUUCAGCAGAUGUCAGAAUGUUCUAAUGUAUUGAAUGUCUACAACGAGACUAUCCAUCCUGCGUCAAAUAUUUGGACUUAUUUUAAAUGACAGCAUAGAAUGUUGGUUGUCGUUGAUGUGACAGUACCUCAAUAAUGUGAAGAAAUAAUAAAGGCAAUGAUUGUUUUUCUGCAAAGUAAUAUUUUAUUGAUGACCAGUGUAAUACAAUACAAAUGAUAAACAGGCAAUUGAUGUACAAAAAAGGACUUCCAGCACAACUAACUCGUUCAUCCCAAAAAUUGUCCACUGGACACCAACAUGAGCCACUUAAGGU